AAUAUUGUACAAUGGGGGCAACCCUGAUCCAUCCAUGCCGCGUGUGUGAAGAAGGUCUUCGGAGUGUAAAGCACUUUAAGUUGGGAGGAAGGGCUUUAGGCUAUUACCCUGAAGUUUUGACGUUACCAACAGAAUAAGCACCGGCUAACUCUGUGCCAGCAACCGCGGUAAUACAGAGGGUGCAAGCGUUAAUCGGAAUUAAUGGGCUUAAAACGCGCGUAGGUGGUUCAGUAAGAUGGGUGUGAAAUCACCGGGCUUAACCUGGGAACUGCUUUCAUUACUGCUGAGCUAGAGUACGGUAGAGGGUAGUGGAAUUUCCUGGGUAGCGGUGAAAUGCGUAGAUAUAGGAAGGAACACCAGUGGCGAAGGCGACUACCUGGACUGAUUCUGACACUGAGGUGCGAAAGCGUGGGGAGCGAACAG
rnacentral:rRNA from 1 species